rnacentral:rRNA from 1 species
AACGUAGGACACAAGCGUUAUCCGGAGUUACUGGGCGUAAAGAGUGCGUAGGCGGUUUUCUAAGUUUGGUGUGAAAUCUCCCGGCUUAACUGGGAGGGUGCGCCGAAGACUGGAAGGCUUGAGUAUGGGAGAGGUAAGCGGAAUUCCUGGUGUAGCGGUGAAAUGCGUAGAUAUCAGGAGGAACACCUGCGGUGUAGACGGCUUACUGGACCAUCACUGACGCUGAGGCACGAAAGCGUGGGUAGCAAACCGG